rnacentral:rRNA from 1 species
UACGUAGGGGGCAAGCGUUGUCCGGAAUCAUUGGGCGUAAAGCGCGUGUAGGCGGCUCGAUAAGUCCGUUCUGAAAGUCCAGGGCUCAACCCUGGGAUGCGGAUGGAUACUGUCGAGCUCGAGUCCGGAAGAGGCGAGUGGAAUUCCCAGUGUAGUGGUGAAAUACGUAGAGAUUGGGAAGAACACCAGUGGCGAAGGCGGCUAUCUGGACGGUUUCUGACACUAAGACUCGAAAGCGUGGGGAGCAAACAGG